rnacentral:rRNA from 1 species
AUACGUAGGUCCCGAACGUUGCGCGAAAUUACUGGGCGUAAAGGGUCCGUAGGCGGUCUGGUAAGUGGAAGGUGAAAGCCUGGGGCUCAACUCCAGAAUUGCCUUCCAAACUGCCGGACUUGAGGUAGGGAGAGGUCGGCGGAAUUCCCGGUGUAGCGGUGAAUGCGUAGAUAUCGGGAGGAACACCAGUGGCGAAGGCGGCCGACUGGAACUGUCCUGACGCUGAGGGACGAAAGCCAGGGGAGCAAACGGGAUUAGAAACCCCGGUAGUCC